rnacentral:lncRNA from 1 species
GGUGAACAGACAGAUACUGUUUCCAGACAACCUCUGUCAAGGACAGAAUGGGGCAGAGGUGUGACCAGAGUCGUGAAGGAGACAGCUGUGCAGACGCUUGACCCUGCCUUUGCCUACCAGUGGACCAAGGGUAAGUCGGGCCUGUGAGAACCUGGGUAGGCCCCUGUGGCGCUGUGGUGUCCUUGGGUGCAGGCUGUAAUUUAAGAACGAUAGCCUUAUCUUUUCCUGUUCUAGAUCCCAAAUAAUUGACACAAAGACCUAUUAAGUUUACUAACAAGCUUUAAGCGCUGUGCCUGGGCAGAUAUUCAUCUAUUCCAUGAACAGUUGUAGACAUCUAAGCUGUCUACAUCCCAGUCAUGCUAUCCUUCACCUUCAAAACAAGUCUCGCCCUGUCUUGUUCUGGUCCAAGUGUGUCCUCAUGUCUGUUCUCUCAUUGAGACCUCAUGUCAGAUCCCUUGAUGACCUCAUCACAACUCCUCAUGGCCACCUCCCUAUGGUCCUUCCCUUGCUUCUCUUGACCUGGGACCCUUGCUGAAUCAGCUCUUUAUUGAGAUGAUGGAAGACAAUUGUUUCAUAAC